rnacentral:tRNA from 1 species
GGGUGAGUGGCGGAAUGGUAUACGCGUUAGUCUCAAAAACUAAUGGGGGCAACUCCAUGAGGGUUCGAGUCCCUCCUCACCCACCA